GAUUAACGCUGGCGGCGUGCCUAACACAUGCAAGUCGAGCGGCAGCGCGUUUUACACUGAAUUCUGGAAGCUUCUAGUUGCAGGAGAAGAUUUAUUCAAGAAUUUUGUGUAAAAUGUCGGCGAGCGGCGGACGGCUGAGUAACGCGUGGGAACGUACCCCAAAGUGAGGGAUAACGCAUCGAAAGGUGUGCUAAUACCGCAUAUGGUCUUCGGAUUAAAGCCUUCGGGCGCUUUGGGAACGGCCUGCGUAAGAUUAGAUAGUUGGUGGGGUAAUGGCCUACCAAGUCGACGAUCUUUAACUGGUUUGAGAGGAUGAUCAGUCAGACUGGAACUGAGACACGGUCCAGACUCCUACGGGAGGCAGCAGUGAGGAAUCUUCCACAAUGGGCGAAAGCCUGAUGGAGCAACGCCGCGUGCAGGAUGAAGGCCUUCGGGUUGUAAACUGCUUUUAUAAGUGAGGAUUAUGACAGUAACUGAUGAAUAAGGAUCGGCUAACUACGUG
rnacentral:rRNA from 1 species